UCUGAUACUACGUAUGGUGACUAUUGCCAGGUUUUCCUGUACAGUUCUGGAAUUUCGGAACGAUGGCAUUUCAAGAAUUUCCACACAAAAAUGCAAAAAUGUACCGCAAGCAUUCAAAAGGGGUGUGGUUUAAAAUUGUUCACCAUUGCUAAAAGUUGACAAGCUACACUGUACUGAUCUGAGUCUGUUGGUUUGUACAAUCAGGCACUCUAAAGGAUCAAGACUAUCAUUGUAUUGCUUUCUUGAAUAUGUAGCUGAUGGAUAGCUGCAGUCAAGAAUGAAAAGAAAGAUUAAUUAAGGAGCCCAAAAGUUGGCAAAACUAUGGUUUCAUUUAUUCCAAGCAGAAAUAGCCAUGGCAAGACCUCUUCUCCAGAGUUUAAUACUGAACAUGAGAUAAUGCAAACCAGAAAAACUUUACUGCACUGGAUUUGGUCAAGCAAAUGCAGAGAUACAGCGUUUUGAAGAACACUAGUCAGGGAAAAAUUCGUACAAAAAUUACUGCAUUUUAAUGUACUUGGGCGGGACUUAUGAAAUUUGUUGUUAAUACCGGAAAUGAUCUUAAAGUUAGCAUAUCUGCUGAACCGCUUGGUCUAUUCUCUUUUAAAAAAGUAUAAAAUGGACACUCAGGACUCAAGAGUUAACAUUGUAACCAUUUGAUAUCUGUUAUGAAGUUUAUAAUGUUUCUGUAAUGUAUAUCUUUAUGAUGUCCCUAUAAUAGUAUGAUGUCUCCUGCUUCAGAGAGUUCUUUUGGAUUUAAAGUAACCAUGCUAUCUUUUCAGUAUAUUGUAUCAUGUUUCAGAACUCUCAUCAAUGUCCACCUUACGCUUGUAUCUGUUUCUUGAUCUUUAUAAGCAACUUUUCUGUCAAUUUCAUUUGGUCUAAAUAAUUCGUUUUUAGUGUGAUG